rnacentral:tRNA from 1 species
GGGCCUGUGGCGCAAUGGAUAACGCGCCUGACUACGGAUCAGGAGAUUCCAGGUUCGA